AUUGAACGCUGGCGGCAGGCCUAACACAUGCAAGUCGAACGAGUGGCGGACGGGUGAGUAAUGUCUUGGAAACUGCCUCAUGGAGGGGGAUAACUACUGGAAACGGUAGCUAAUAACGCAUACCAUCAGAUGUGCCCAGAUGGGAUUAGCUAGGUGGUGGGGUAACGGCUCACCAAGGCGACGAUCCCUAGCUGGUAGGAGAGGAUGACAAGCCACACUGGGACUGAGAAACGGUCAAGACUCCUACGGGAGGCAGCAGUGGGGAAUAUUGCACAAUGGGCGCAAGCCUGAUGCAGCCAUGCCGCGUGUAUGAAGAAGGCCUUCGGGUUGUAAAGUACUUUCAGCGGGGAGGCGUUACCCGCAGAAGAAGAACAGGCUAACGCCGUGCCAGCAGCCGCGGUAAUAC
rnacentral:rRNA from 1 species